GAUGAACGCUAGCGGGAGGCCUAACACAUGCAAGCCGAGCGGUAUUGUUUCUUCGGAAAUGAGAGAGCGGCGUACGGGUGCGGAACACGUGUGCAACCUGCCUUUAUCUGGGGGAUAGCCUUCGAAAGGAAGAUUAAUACUCCAUAAUAUAUUGAACGGCAUCGUUUAAUAUUGAAAGCUCCGGCGGAUAGAGAUGGGCACGCGCAAGAUUAGCUAGUUGGUGAGGUAACGGCUCACCAAGGCGAUGAUCUUUAGGGGGCCUGAGAGGGUGAUCCCCCACACUGGUACUGAGACGCGGGCCAGACUCCUACGGGAGGCAGCAGUGAGGAAUAUUGGUCAAUGGGUGCAAGCCUGAACCAGCCAUCCCGCGUGAAGGACGACUGCCCUAUGGGUUGUAAACUUCUUUUGUAUAGGGAUAAGCCUACCCUCGUGAGGGUAGCUGAAGGUACUAUACGAAUAAGCACCGGCUAACUCCGUGCCAGCCGCCGCUGUAA
rnacentral:rRNA from 1 species